GAAGUUUUCAGAGAUGAGAAUGUGCCUUCGGGAACCGUGAGACAGGUGCUGCAUGGCUGUCGUCAGCUCGUGUUGUGAAAUGUUGGGUUAAGUCCCGCAACGAGCGCAACCCUUAUCCUUUGUUGCCAGCGGUUAGGCCGGGAACUCAAAGGAGACUGCCAGUGAUAAACUGGAGGAAGGUGGGGAUGACGUCAAGUCAUCAUGGCCCUUACGACCAGGGCUACACACGUGCUACAAUGGCGCAUACAAAGAGAAGCGACCUCGCGAGAGCAAGCGGACCUCAUAAAGUGCGUCGUAGUCCGGAUUGGAGUCUGCAACUCGACUCCAUGAAGUCGGAAUCGCUAGUAAUCGUGGAUCAGAAUGCCACGGUGAAUACGUUCCCGGGCCUUGUACACACCGCCCGUCACACCAUGGGAGUGGGUUGCAAAAGAAGUAGGUAGCUUAACCUUCGGGAGGGCGCUUACCACUUUGUGAUUCAUGACUGGGGUGAAGUCGUAACAAGGUAACCGUAGGGGAACCUGCGGUUGGAUCACCUCCUUACCUGAAAGAA
rnacentral:rRNA from 1 species